CCUUUGGACUGUUAUAUCAAACCAUAGUAGUUAGCAAUAACGAGGUGGGACAGGUUGAAGAAGGAA
rnacentral:ncRNA from 1 species